rnacentral:rRNA from 1 species
GUAGUUGGCGGGGUAACGGCCCACCAAGCCAACGAUCAGUAACUGGUGUGAGAGCACGACCAGUCACACGGGCACUGAGACACGGGCCCGACUCCUACGGGAGGCAGCAGUAAGGAAUAUUGGUCAAUGGACGCAAGUCUGAACCAGCCAUGCCGCGUGGAGGAUGAAGGCCCUCUGGGUUGUAAACUUCUUUUAUCUGGGAAGAAACCACUCUUUUCUAAGGGUGUUGACGGUACCAGUUGAAUAAGCACCGGCUAACUCCGUGCCAGCAGCCGCGGUAAUACGGAGGGUGCAAGCGUUAUCCGGAUUCACUGGGUUUAAAGGGUGCGUAGGUGGGCAGGUAAGUCAGUGGUGAAAUCUCCGGGCUUAACCCGGAAACUGCCGUUGAUACUAUCUGUCUUGAAUGUAGUGGAGGUGAGCGGAAUAUGUCAUGUAGCGGUGAAAUGCUUAGAUAUGACAUAGAACACCCAUUGCGAAGGCAGCUCGCUACACUAUUAUUGACACUGAGGCACGAAAGCGUGGGGAUCAAACAGGAUUAGAUACCCUGGUAGUCCACGCCCUAAACGAUGGAUACUCGACAUCAGCGAUACACAGUUGGUGUCUGAGCGAAAGCAUUAAGUAUCCCACCUGGGAAGUACGACCGCAAGGUUGAAACUCAAAGGAAUUGACG